rnacentral:lncRNA from 1 species
GCUAUUUGUGGGAAAUGCAUCUGGGAAUUGGAUAUCCACAAGAAUUUGCCCUGAAGAUCUGCUUUGAAGACCUAAGCACAGGCAGUCAAGGGACAAAAGUAUAGACAAAUAAGACGUGCUAAUGGAAGCAGCUCAGUUUUCAUCACAGGUUUCUAAAGCAGGACAUUUGAAAAGAAAACUACAUCUUUUGACAGAGGAAGAAAGAAAAUAAAGUUUUGAAGGCAUAUGUGUUUCUGGGCUUGCACUGACCUACUUCAAAGGUAGAAUACCAUUGGAGACUGCAGAACCAUAAAUAAGACUGCAGUUUUUAAAUUGGUCCGGAAAUCAGAAAAGAAGCCAAAAAAAAAAAAAAAAAAAAAAAAAAAAGACAAGGAAAUGAAGUGAAAUGAAGGGAAAAAAGCAAGAUGGAAAUAUAUAGAAUAGGGGAAAAAAAAGGAAAAAAAAAAAAAAAACACCAGAUCCUUCUUCUGGAGUAAAAAUCCUGUCAGCUGAUAUAGUUUUCAUAGGAAAAACUGACUUCUUGAAACAGAACGAUGUACAAGAACAACUCAAGACUGAAACAAGCUCUCUCUGAUUGCCGGAUAGUAUUUGACAGAAGCGGAUUGUCCUCCAUAGACUGAUUUUACUGCACUCCUGAAUGCAAGAGCCUCAGCCAUUUAAUCCUUACCAAAGACACGGAAAUGCUUGCAGACUUCUGAAGAAGAUAUUUGUUUAUCUGUGUUGUUUAUUGAUCUACUGUCUGGCUAAUACACCACUUGAGAAGAUUCUGAGCCAAAUGUACCGCUAAUGUAAGCAGCAAAUGCAAUGACAUCGAAAUCGGUUGUGAGUCUGGCCCUCUGAGUUUACUCAUGAAAAAACAUUAACUUUACAAUGACCGGUCAAAACAUAUACAUUUAUUUUAGUUCAAGCCUCUCACUGAAACCAGAUUUACACUGAGAUAAUUUCAGUGAGUUCAGCAGAAUUGCUCUGAAUGUGCUCUAGGGUGAUGAAAACCAAGCAUACCUGUUUUUAAAGAGUUCCUCCUAAACUCCAACACGUCAGAGAAUAAAAAAAUGUUCUCCUUUUUUUUUUUUUUUUUU